GAAGGAACACAAGACUCCGGAAGCAUGCCAGCGUAUAAAACCACACUUCGCCUCAUUGGUUCCUGCCUCAGCUUCCAAUCUGGACAUGGAGCACAAUAACAGUGGGCCCACUGCUCUCCGAAUUCCUGCGCGCACUUGAAGAAUCAGAAAUAACACAAAUCACUGCAGGGUAAUUUUGAAUGCUCAUUUGACUAUGCAGUGACAUCAAGUGGCGAGUUGAGGAAUGAUCAUAUGCUGUGUGAGAACUCCAUGUUAAAAAUUCCAUGGAGCCAGGCUAGACACCACAUUUGGCACUUUCAGCUGUUUAGAUUUCAGAGAAUUAAAAGGAAAUGGUCACCGACCUGCCUUUGAUAGUACCCUUAUACUCCUUCCCACCAU
rnacentral:antisense_RNA from 1 species